rnacentral:rRNA from 1 species
UACAGAGGUCCCAAGCGUUGUUCGGAUUCACUGGGCGUAAAGGGUGCGUAGGUGGUCGGGUAAGUCUGAGGUGAAAUCUCCGAGCUCAACUCGGAAACUGCCUUGGAUACUAUUCGGCUAGAGGGUUGGAGGGGGGACUGGAAUUCUCGGUGUAGCAGUGAAAUGCGUAGAUAUCGUAAGGAAGACCAGUGGCGAAGGCGGGUCUCUGGACAGUUCCUGACGCUGAGGCACGAAGGCCAGGGGAGCAAACGGG